UGAGACGGAACUUUAAAAAACACUACAGACCUCUGGGGCUCAGAGCUCUCAGAUCUCCCCUGUUCUGAUAUGACGACGACAAGGAUGAUGAUGGUGUUGGCAGUGAGGAAGAUGCCGAUGAAGAUCACAAAGCACGGCUCUCCCUCUGUAUUGACAGUGCUGUGACCCCUGACCUCUCGGAGUCACUGUCCUGUUAUCUCCUGGCCAGUUGGUUGACAUCAAGUGCCAUUUGGGUUGCGGCCUUUCUGUUCACUGUGAGACCUAGUGUAACUUUAAGCACUUGCGUCAGUAGCUGGCACCCACCCAGGUCUGUGUCCUUUCUUUUAGGAGGGACUUUUAAAACCGCCAGGUUUUGCGUGACCAUCAUGGCCCAGACCUACCAUGAUGACCUGAUAUGAUCAUACAGAACAUAAGUCAUUGUUUUUGUCUUUUGCGUUUAGUCACUUUGAGGAGUUUUUUUUUUAGACAUGACCUAUAGAUCUCACGUCUGUUUGUUGUUAAUAAAUGUUAACCAUCUCCAAACCAUUUUGCACAUUCAACACGGGAUAUAGAAGAGUUUACUAUUUGUAAAAACAAGCAGAAAAAAUCAUGAAGUUGAAUUCCGAAGGACCAUUUAUUUUGUUCAGGGUACCAACCAAGUGCAUGCUUUAUUCCUGUUCAAUUUUACUUUGUGUCCCCCUCUCCAUGUACUAAAGAAUCGUAGCUUGUGCUUUCCCUCCGUUUCAGAUGGGAGACUAUAUUCUCUGCAACUCUAUCAUCCUAUUCCAGACACUGCGCGUCUCCUCUUUGCAGGCAAACUGGUUUCGGGUGUACAUGUGUGCAGUCAUGUUUUGAAGAGGUACAGUUUCCAAGAAAGAAACUCUCUCAAGUUGGCCAAAUAUAAUAUAAUUCACAUGAUUACGUUCAUAUUUAGUUGGUCUUCAUUCAUGGUUUGGGCUUUUUUUUUUUCUCUCUCUGUUUUAUGCCUGCUAGUUGGUUGUACUAUUCAUCACUAGGAGUUGGCCCUAACUACUGAUACAGGGUCAGAUACUAUUUGAUCUGCCUAAAGGUUAGGACAGGGGGAAGGGUUAUCUGAUCAUAGAUCUGUGGUUGGGGUUAACUUCUACCUUGAGCAUUUGUCUCAUCUGGAGGGUGUACAGACAAAGUAUGGUGGAGGGAUUGGAUGGGGAUGAUUUAUAUAGUAUGGAUUUCCUGAGAGGAACUGAUUAUAAUAUCAAAUUUGAUCAAUUAAUGUACAGCGUAAUGAAAGGGAUCUUCUGUAUGCUUUUUUUUUUUUUUUACCACACAAUAAAGGAUGGAUCUUUUUAAGUGCCUGAAUUUAGCACUGUGUAGCGCUCCUGUCUUUAUCGGCCGCCUUCUGUAUGAUAAUUCCUUGAAUGAAUUACCAGUACUCAAAACAAACGCCUCCAGAUUGAUUGCACUACAACAGAGUGUAAAAAAGGACUCGCCGUCUGACUGAAACAUACAUCAUGUGUCCAUGAUCUCAUGUAGUUGAAUGUGAUAGGACACUUGUCCCCAACGACAGAUAAUCAUUUGUUUCAUCACACUUUGUAUGAUAGUUUUUUAUUUUGGCUCUGGACCCCCUUUUUGAGUUGGAUCGUCCAUAUGACUGGCCACGGGUCUGCAAAAUGCAGUGGUGUAAAAAUACUGAAGUCUUUUUUGGGGGUAUCUGUGCUUUACUAAUGAUAUAUUUGACAACUUUUACCUUACUACAUUCCUAAAGAAAAUGAUGUUAUUUUUACUCCAUACACCCAGAAGUACAUUUUGCAUGCUUAGCAGGACAGGAAAAUGGUUCAAUUCACACUCUUAUCAAGAGAACAUCCCUCGUGCCUCUGAUCUGGCGGAAUCAAUAAAAACAAAUGCUUGGUUUGUAAAUUAUGUCUGAGUAUUAGACUGGCUAUCUGUAAAUGUAAAAAACUACAUCGGUUUGCUUAAUAUAAUGAAUUUGAAAUGAUUUACACUUUUACUUUUGAUACUAUUUUACAUUUGAGCAAUUCCAUUGACUUUUGAUACUUAACUAUAUUUUAAAACCAAAUACUUUUUGAAGUUUUACUCAAGUAGUAUUUUACUUGGUGACUUUUUCUUGAGUCAUUUUCUUUUAAGGUAUCUUUACUUUUACUCAAGUAUGAAAAUUGGGUACUUUUUUCCACCCCUGGCCAAAUGUCAAACGACACAUGGUGGUGUACUGGUUUUGCCAUUACAAUGUCAGGUUCACUGUUCACUCUCUCCAUGACUACGUGGGGAGCACCAGCCACCUUGGCAUUGAUUGUGGGCCAGGUCCAGGCAAAGUAUCCUCUUGACUUCACCUCACCCCACUGAAUCACCGAGGGUGAACUGGAACCCUCCAUCCCGCCCACUGCCUGGUUAACAAAACCGUUGCCCUCGGGCACUGAGGUAGUAUUCCGUCUUCUUGUUUCAGUGAUCUUCAGAGAGUGGGUUGAAGUUCCUCACUUCACUUUGAUUAUAUUCUUGUAAUGUGUUGUCAAUAUCUCCAACCAUUUGGAUCUCCAGUCCAGGACGUCACUAGCGAGGCCGUCUCCAACUUUACGCAGCUGAUGCGCACAGUCCAGAACGGCAGUUAGAUCUGGAGAGAAGAGAAAGUAACCGUUUAGUCGGUCAGUUUAACAUAGGAUAAUGUCUCAUUUGUGGUAAAAUCGUAAGCACAAAACUAAAUUGCAGAAAUAUGAAUGACCUUUUCCGGUCAUAUUGAUUGGGCUUGCGUUGUGUUUCUUUGUUGAGCUCUUCCAGAGCUAUGUUGUGCUUGUGGUACAGAGUAGAUUGAGUAUCUGAAUGCAUGCAGCUCUAAUUCUUAUCAGUCAGCAGUGAGGUCUCUGCUGAAGUCGGAAGUUAGCUUCGUUAUAUUGCCUUGGUGAAGUAGAUUGUGGAUCCCCUGUGCAAGUCUCGCCUGUGCAAGUCCCCCUGUGCAAGUAAAUUAGGGAUAUUCUCUUGGUCUCCAUUUGAAAGUUGAUUGGCACAGUACACUUUCCACUGCAGCAAGCGACAGUCCAUUUAAUCUGUCAAAAAUAAUCUGUCGAAAGUGAUGCUGUGUAUGUUAGGAACACCACACCUGCAAUCAAUAGCAUGCUGGGUUAGGACACAUGUUAUUUGAUUGAUAUCACCGGGAGAAUGCUUGCACACUUACGUAAAACAGUUGUCAAAAUGAAUUGGCUUGCUCAAUGUACUCAUUGGUAGACGGAAUAACAACGCAGGACAGGAGCAUCUGUCCAUGCCUUAUAAAACAGUUCAACUGUGAUUGGAACAUACCUCUAUUGAUAAAAUGACAAACAACGAUUGAUAAGGCUAGAUUGUGCAAUAUUGAUUGGCAGGUUGUUUCUAAUAGAUGGUAAGGAAUGUGUGUCCUUCAUGAACAUUACAGAGCACAUUUGACCCUAGGCUAGUUCCCCAAAUAUGUCUUUUUUUUUAGGUUUAUUUCAGGCCAGGGCACUCA
rnacentral:lncRNA from 13 species